rfam:Myotis lucifugus cont2.16248, whole genome shotgun sequence.
GGCAGUGCUAGGAUGACGCACCCCAGAAUCGGUCUCCCUCCUCUCUGGUUCCGGGUGUGUCACCCAAGAACCACA